CUCACGUGGCCUCGGGAACAACCUUCGCCCCGCCGGGCCCCAGUCUGGGAAAGGCGGGUUCUUUCUGACCCUCUAGCACCCUGUGGGCUGGGCUGGGCAAGUUCCCCGGCUGCGCGUAUGGGACCUGGAGAGGGAGCCUUUGUUGAGCCCAUCUUGUGUGCCAGGUGCCAGGGAUGUACAGUCCAGAGCAUAUCCUACCACAGACAAGAAGGGACAAAGCCCUAUAAACAAGCAGGUGCUUGGAAGUUGCCAUUAGUGCUGUUAUAGAGCUAUUGCUCUUACCUAAAUGAAGUGGCUACAUCAUGGAGCAGCUACCAAUGGCUUUCUCUAUUUUUUUCUCUACUGUUAAUAAUUUAGCAUCAUCUCUUCAUUCUACAGACAGAAGUACAAAUGCCAAAUAAAAACAACUGCAAAUUAAA